rnacentral:rRNA from 1 species
AACCGGCGAACGGGUGCGUAACACGUGAGCAAUCUGCCGAUUUCUGGGGGAUAGCCGGCCCAACGGCCGGGUAAUACCGCAUACGUUCUCGAGGGGGAGUCCCCUUGGGAAGAAGGGAAAUCGAGGAGCUCGCGGCCUAUCAGCUAGUUGGCGGUGUGAUGGACCACCAAGGCUAUGACGGGUAGCUGGUCUGAGAGGAUGGCCAGCCACAUUGGGACUGAGAAACGGCCCAGACUCCUACGGGAGGCAGCAGUGGGGAAUCUUGCGCAAUGGCCGAAAGGCUGACGCAGCGACGCCGCGUGGGGGAGGAAGGCCUUCGGGUUGUAAACCCCUGUUGCCCGGGACGAAUGCGCUCUAUUGGGGGCGUUGACGGUACCGGGUGAGGAAGCACCGGCUAACUCCGUGCCAGCAGCCGCGGUAAUACGGAGGGUGCAAGCGUUGUCCGGAAUCACUGGGCGUAAAGGGCGCGUAGGCGGCUCAUAAAGGCUGUGGUGAAAGUUCGGGGCUCAACCUCGAAUCGGCCGUGGCGACUUGUGGGCUGGAGCACUGUAGAGGCGGGUGGAAUUCCGGGUGUAGCGGUGGAAUGCGUAGAGAUCCGGAAGAACACCAGUGGCGAAGGCGGCCCGCUGGGCAGUGG